AAUCACUUUUCUGCUCCUAUGGGGUUAAAUGAAUCAAGCUAGAACAACUGCACUGGGCUGUGUGCAGAUGGAGUCACAACGAUGCCAGACAGACAAGUUAUAUAGUCUCCUGUUGGGGGGCCUUGGAGGCGAAAAGAUUGGGAAUCACUGGUUUUAUGGCAUUAGCGUGAUGCUAUCAGCCCCAAAAAGACUCUUAAGGGCAAGCUUGACAUGGAGAUUUCUCAUGUCCAAAGGACCAUGGGUCUCAAUAACUGCUAAGGACAUGAAUGACAGAAAUGUUAACCUUAAACCCGGAACACAAUUCAUUCUUUGAGAUGAAUUGUGUCCCCCAUGGGCCGGCAUUACAGGAUAACAGAUGACAACCUGUCUGCAGAACUGCAUGAAGUGCGACGGCUCCUCGACUGGAAAAACAGAGCAGGGACAGAUUGUGAGCACCACACCAGAAUUUCUGUCUCUCCUCCGACCACAAAGGGAUGCGUUUAUUGAUUGAUUUGCAUAGGCUUUUGUGUAUCAGUCACACUGCCCGUCGUGUCGGCGACACUAGAAACAACAACCUGGCGUUGUGGUCGAUCAACCCCAGACGAGCGAGGGCCCUUGAUGUGCAGGACGUUGUUGAUGCUUUUGCCAUGAACCACAACAACCACCGACGCAUUAUUCUGCUACGCCAGAUGUCCAUUGAACCACUGACUGAGAAGCACAACAUUUCCAGGCUGAGGCGGGACGUUGCAUCUCGAAGCCACUGACUAAGAGUGGACGGGGCGGCAUCCUUCCACCUGAGCAAAACUGCACGUCUGGCCAGGAGUGACGCGAAGAAAGUUGUACAGACGAGGUUUGUUUGACUAACCAGCCACACAACUAAACAGC